rnacentral:rRNA from 1 species
GGGUUGUGAGGUUAAGCGACUAAGCGUACACGGUGGAUGCCCUGGCAGUCAGAGGCGAUGAAGGACGUGCUAAUCUGCGAAAAGCGUCGGUAAGGUGAUAUGAACCGUUAUAGCCGGCGAUGUCCGAAUGGGGAAACCCAGUGCAAUUCGUUGCACUAUCGUUAACUGAAUACAUAGGUUAACGAGGCGAACCGGGGGAACUGAAACAUCUAAGUACCCCGAGGAAAAGAAAUCAACCGAGAUUCCCCCAGUAGCGGCGAGCGAACGGGAGCAGCCCAGAGUCUGAAUCAGCUUGUGUUAGUGGAACGGUCUGGAAAGUCCGACGGUACAGGGUGAUAGUCCCGUACACCAAAAUGCACAGGCUGUGAACUCGAAGAGUAGGGCGGGACACGUGGUAUCCUGUCUGAAUAUGGGGGGACCAUCCUCCAAGGCUAAAUACUCCUGACUGACCGAUAGUGAACCAGUACCGUGAGGAAAGGCGAAAAGAACCCCGGCGAGGGGAGUGAAAAAGAACCUGAAACCGUGUACGUACAAGCAGUGGGAGCACCUUCGGGUGUGACUGCGUACCUUUUGUAUAAUGGGUCAGCGACUUAUAUUCUGUAGCAAGGUUAACCGUAUAGGGGAGCCGCAGGGAAACCGAGUCUUAACUGGGCGUUAAGUUGCAGGGUAUAGACCCGAAACCCGGUGAUCUAGCCAUGGGCAGGUUGAAGGUUGGGUAACACUAACUGGAGGACCGAACCGACUAAUGUUGAAAAAUUAGCGGAUGACUUGUGGCUGGGGGUGAAAGGCCAAUCAAACCGGGAGAUAGCUGGUUCUCCCCGAAAGCUAUUUAGGUAGCGCCUCGUGAAUUCAUCUUCGGGGGUAGAGCACUGUUUCGGCUAGGGGGUCAUCCCGACUUACCAACCCGAUGCAAACUACGAAUACCGAAGAAUGUUAUCACGGGAGACACACGGCGGGUGCUAACGUCCGUCGUGAAGAGGGAAACAACCCAGACCGCCAGCUAAGGUCCCAAAGUCAUGGUUAAGUGGGAAACGAUGUGGGAAGGCACAGACAGCCAGGAUGUUGGCUUAGAAGCAGCCAUCAUUUAAAGAAAGCGUAAUAGCUCACUGGUCGAGUCGGCCUGCGCGGAAGAUGUAACGGGGCUAAACCAUGCACCGAAGCUGCGGCAGCGACGCUUAUGCGUUGUUGGGUAGGGGAGCGUUCUGUAAGCCUGCGAAGGUGGCCUGUGAGGGCUGCUGGAGGUAUCAGAAGUGCGAAUGCUGACAUAAGUAACGAUAAAGCGGGUGAAAAGCCCGCUCGCCGGAAGACCAAGGGUUCCUGUCCAACGUUAAUCGGGGCAGGGUGAGUCGACCCUAAGGCGAGGCCGAAAGGCGUAGUCGAUGGGAAACAGGUUAAUAUUCCUGUACUUGGUGUUACUGCGAAGGGGGGACGGAGAAGGCUAUGUUAGCCGGGCGACGGUUGUCCCGGUUUAAGCAUGUAGGCGGAGGUUCCAGGUAAAUCCGGUACCUUUUAACGCUGAGGUGUGAUGACGAGGCACUACGGUGCUGAAGUAACAAAUGCCCUGCUUCGGGAAAAGCCUCUAAGCAUCAGGUAACAUUAAAUCGUACCCCAAACCGACACAGGUGGUCAGGUAGAGAAUACCAAGGCGCUUGAGAGAACUCGGGUGAAGGAACUAGGCAAAAUGGUGCCGUAACUUCGGGAGAAGGCACGCUGGUGUGUAGGUGAAGUCCCUGCGGAUGGAGCUGAGACCAGUCGAAGAUACCAGCUGGCUGCAACUGUUUAUUAAAAACACAGCACUGUGCAAACACGAAAGUGGACGUAUACGGUGUGACGCCUGCCCGGUGCCGGAAGGUUAAUUGAUGGGGUUAUCCGUAAGGAGAAGCUCUUGAUCGAAGCCCCGGUAAACGGCGGCCGUAACUAUAACGGUCCUAAGGUAGCGAAAUUCCUUGUCGGGUAAGUUCCGACCUGCACGAAUGGCGUAAUGAUGGCCGGCUGUCUCCACCCGAGACUCAGUGAAAUUGAACUCGCUGUGAAGAUGCAGUGUACCCGCGGCAAGACGGAAAGACCCCGUGAACCUUUACUAUAGCUUGACACUGAACAUUGAGCCUUGAUGUGUAGGAUAGGUGGGAGGCUUUGAAGCGUGGACGCCAGUCUGCGUGGAGCCAACCUUGAAAUACCACCCUUUAAUGUUUGAUGUUCUAACGUUGGCCCCUUAUCGGGGUUGCGGACAGUGUCUGGUGGGUAGUUUGACUGGGGCGGUCUCCUCCCAAAGAGUAACGGAGGAGCACGAAGGUUAGCUAAUCCUGGUCGGACAUCAGGAGGUUAGUGCAAUGGCAUAAGCUAGCUUGACUGCGAGCGUGACGGCGCGAGCAGGUGCGAAAGCAGGUCAUAGUGAUCCGGUGGUUCUGAAUGGAAGGGCCAUCGCUCAACGGAUAAAAGGUACUCCGGGGAUAACAGGCUGAUACCGCCCAAGAGUUCAUAUCGACGGCGGUGUUUGGCACCUCGAUGUCGGCUCAUCACAUCCUGGGGCUGAAGUAGGUCCCAAGGGUAUGGCUGUUCGCCAUUUAAAGUGGUACGCGAGCUGGGUUUAGAACGUCGUGAGACAGUUCGGUCCCUAUCUGCCGUGGGCGCUGGAGAAUUGAGGGGGGCUGCUCCUAGUACGAGAGGACCGGAGUGGACGCAUCACUGGUGUUCGGGUUGUCAUGCCAAUGGCACUGCCCGGUAGCUAAAUGCGGAAGAGAUAAGUGCUGAAAGCAUCUAAGCACGAAACUUGCCCCGAGAUGAGUUCUCCCUGAGACUAUAAGUCUCCUGAAGGAACGUUGAAGACGACGACGUUGAUAGGCCGGGUGUGUAAGCGCAGCGAUGCGUUGAGCUAACCGGUACUAAUGAACCGUGAGGCUUAACCUUACAACGCCGAAG